AAAAGUCAGACGCUUAACUGACUGAGCCACCCAAGUGCCUCACAUCUGAUAAUAUUCUAAUGAGAGUAAAUUCAUAAAAUAUUUACCUACUGAAUCACAUUUAAAAAACUAGAAGCCAGGAUUUUUUAGUGUGAAGAGCCAGGCAUUGCACUGACCAUUUUAAAUAUAUCAGCUCAUUUAGUUAUGACAACUCUACAAAAUAUCACAUUAUUCCUAUUCUUUGGAUGAGGAAAGUCAGGUUAGGACUGGUUACUCAAUGUCAUAUUAUUAGUAAGUGGAAGUAAUGGGAUUUGAACCCAGGCUAUUUGAAUUCAAAGUCUACGUACUUUAUCACAGUACCUGCAAUGAAGCAGCUACUCCAUGAAUUGUGAGGACUACAAACAAUAAAACAAUGACAAAGGCAUGUCUGCUAUCAUGCAUUUCCCCAAGGCACAAAUUAUGACUCUUUCGAUGAUGACAAAUUCAAGUCCCUUUCAUUAGCCUUUGUGUUGAGAGUUUAACUAAACUACUCUCCAUAAUGCUGCUCUCUUGGCAUCCGUUUGGUGUGGCCAAGUGGUCUGCGGGGGCCCUGGACUGAUACAAGCCCCUCAUGAAAGCAUGUGCCCUAGACAAUAGCUCUCAGAGUCACAAAUAAAUACAAAUUCCUGAUGUGACUCCCCACACCACGCUGGUGAUAGUCUCCCCCACCUCCCAGGGCCUUCCCUUGUGCAUCCCUUAGAUAAGACCCCCAUGAAGCUCCUUUUGGUUUGAAUAGACCAGAUAAGCCUUAGCCUGGGAACCCCAAAACACUCUAUUCCGGGACCCUCACAAAGGCGUGAACCUCAGGUCCUGCCUUGCUCUCUGCCUGCACCCUGCCUUGGCCUCCCACUGUGGUCCCUGGAGGCAUACCAUGUAGCUCCUCUAGGACCUGUGGGUAAGAAACUUCUCUCUUUCAAUUCCCUUGUGGGUUUUGCUGAACCUGAGGCUCACCAUCCAACACCCCAGGGCACUGCUUAACAAAGUCACUGCUUCGACAAAGUCACAGCCCCUCUGCUUCCACUUUCUCAGAAGCUUCCUGGACUCUCCAUUCACUGGUUUAAUACUGAUUAUUUGGGUAGAUAGUUCAGUAGAUACCAGCGGCCAGUAAAGACCUCUUUGACUCAAAUCUGCCUCCACUUUUCCAAGAAGAAGUGCAACGUCUGCUUCCAUCUUCCCUGCCCUGUUUGUAGUUGGAUCAUCUUCAUAACUGUCAUUACUCAUCUGUUUCCUCCCUUGGGAUUCUGCUCAUAUGCCACAGGCCCCUGGAAACAGUGUCUGUCACAGCAAAGGGCUGUGAACUGGCCCUAAACCACACCGGCAACCCCAUCACCCCUUGAGCUUCCCCUUUCCUCACUCCUAGCUCUACUCUGCUAGUUAACUUCUUCAUCUGCAGCCUGAGAAUUUGUGCUGUGCAAAGGAGCACAGGACAAAUCCUGGAACACACUACACAUUUGACUUUCAUGAAGAGAACAGUAACCUCUAGGCCCAGAUGUGCUCAAGGUCUGAGAAGGGUCCCAUUGCAUCAGCCUCCCUGAGACACUCAGCCACUCUGGCACCACCACACAUGGCCAUACUGCUUGUUGUGGUGGGGGGUGGGGGGGUUACCAUCUCUAUCCAUCUCUGGAGCUUCUGCAGCUGCCUACAUUUCUUUAAUCCAAUCAAAGAUACACAGUCCUGUUUCUUUUCUCAUCAUGAUGAGAUUGCCAGAAGCAAGAUAUUCAUCCUUUCUGGCAAACCCAUCUCUCUCAAGAAAGACCAUCUCUGAGGCUGCCUAGCUUUCCUUACCUGUCUAGACUGUCCAGGGACUGUCUCAGGUAAGACCCCACUCCUUAGUACUUUCCCAUAUCAUUCACACUCUCUCACUCUUUCCAAAAUCCUUGGGGGCAAUUCAGUGUCCUUGAUAAUGUCUUGAUUGUGAAGGAGAGCCUCACUUCCCACCAUGUAAUAGAAGGGCAUGGUGCAUAAAGGCUGAGCUCUAUCCACAACACUCAACCAAGGACCUACUCUCUUGUUUUCUCGAAUAAGCCACCUCUAAACCCUCUCUAGGAAAGACAACACUUAGAAGUUCCCUGUGCAAUUUUUGCCAAAAUUAUAAUUCCAUUUUUUCUUUGAAGGUAGGCAGAAUUACCACCACCACCACCACUCCACACACAGAGAUGUUCACAUUCUAAUUCUAGAAACCUAUGGAUAAGAUUAUCUUACCUGGCAAAGAGAACCUUGUGGGUGUGAUUCAGUUAAGCAUCUUGAGAUGGGGAGAAUUGAUGAGACUAUCCAUGUGUGUCCAGUCUAAUCACAUGGGGUUUUUUAACAACAGAGAACCUUUCCCAGCUGUGAUCAAAGAACAAUAGGGUAAUAGAGAUGAGACAUUGCUAGCUUUUAAGAUUGGGGGCAAAAAAGCUGCAAGUGAAGGAAUGCAACCUCCACAAGCUGGAAAAGGCGAGAAAACAAAUUCUCCCUUAGACCUUCCAGAAGGAGCACAGACCUUCAGACACCUUGAUUUUACCCCCAAUGAGACCUGGGUUGGCCUUCUGACCUCCAGAAGUGUAAGACCCCUGAGAACUCCAUAUCGUGGUGUUCAGUGAUUGUGUAAAGUCCAAUCACCAAACUCUUCCAGGAGAGAGAAUGUGACUCAGUGCUAUCCCAGUAUGUAAUGAAGCUUCACCAAACUGUGUCAAGAGCAUUUAAAGCAAGUGUCAAGGAUCAUAUUUACAGGCUCAGAAGAAUCACAAAGACCAUGUGCAACAUACCUAUAGUUGGAUCAAAAUAGAAGAGUAAUGGCUUGUGAGGAAGUAAGUCACUUCUUGUGGAGGUUAUCCUAAUGCAAGGAAUAAAAAAGAAAGCAAUCGAUCUGGGAUCUGGCCUUUGGUUUUCUGAUUUAGGGUUCAGGGGUAGAAGUAAGAAAACCUGCAUUUUGUUCCUGUACUUGGUACUCACUUCCCCAGGGUCUUUUAGGGAUACAAAUAAUGAAACAGCAGGAGAUUGUAAGCAAGAAGACACGAACUUCCUUUUAAAACAUUGGACAAGAUUGGGAUGUUCUACAAACUAACAGAGUGAAAUUCAGGGAAGAUGAUAUUGGCAAACAAAAAUCUUUAUGCAAACUCAAUAUCAAAAAAUCUAGCUACCUAUAAUUUGCCUCAAAAACGCCUGAAGUGAAAUGUAGGAACUAUAAACAAGACUAAUGAAAAAUAAAUUGUAGAAUUUGCAGGUGCUGGUCUAGGUGCAAUCAGACCUCAAACACAUUCAGAUUUAAUAUGAAAUUUCUUGAUGCAAAGUAUUCCCCAAGGGAAGAUGAGAAAACCUUAGUAUAUUAAAAUAAAAAAUAUUGUCUUUAUUAUAAGGGCAAAUGAUACUUGCACAUAUAGAAUCUUAUUGGAAGUUAUUAUUUUCCCCAAAUAUCAGGGUUUCUAACACCUAUGUCAGGGUAAUGAUUUUGCUCUCAUUUCUAAAGUUUACCAAACACAUUACAAAUUAUCUUGAAUGGGCUGUAGUGUGGGAAGAUGAAGGCAAGAUAUUAUUAUUUUUUUCAGGUAUUGACCAAGAAAUAGACAAAGAUAUGUUAAGUGAUAUUUUCAAGAUCAUAUGCUAGAAUUUUACUUCUAGCUAAGAUAAAGUAGUUUGCACUAGACCAAUUAUUCUGGGAAGAACAAAUAGAAAACUCAGAUAAAAUGUAAAGAAAAACAGCAAUAACAACAGCUGUCUGACUGAAGGCAUUGGAAAAUGACUGAAGCAACCAGGAAUUGAAGGGCCAAGAUCAAGCAGAGUCAAGAAAAGGGAACCACAGAGAGCUGAGAUGAUGUUCUUCAAACAGCUUUUCCCCUCAAGGCAAUUGCUAGUUUUUGGCUUGGAAUUAGAGGCUAACAAUCUACCCAGAGAGCUGUGGCUGAUAAGCAGAGAAACAAAGUUUCUGGAAAUCUCACAAGGGUGCAGACAAAAAAGGGGAAAAAAAAAUUGAGAGCAAAGGGGAGGUUGGGAGAUUGAUUGGCCAAAGUAUCCAAAACUUGAAGUAACAGAAUCCUGAAGAGAAGGAAAGCAUGGAGAAGCACAUUAGAUACCUCAUUUUCUCCCAUAGGCAUAUGCUAAAUCCUUAAACUGCUAAGGACAAGAAGCGAGGCAGGAAAUCACAGAAAAUCAGAGGAGUUUUGGCCUACUCACAGAGUUGAAGAGACAAAAAUAGGAGAAUACAACCUGACAAGGAGAAGCCCAAGUCAAUACUCUAUGCUCAGGAGGGACUCCUGGGAGCCAUACCACAGUUGAGGAGCUAACCAGAAGUAUAUGUAACUUUCCAGACUUCAACCCAGCCUCAAAUCUGUUCAGUUGCUAAUUGAAUCAAAGUGAUCAACUUCCUCCCUGAAUACAUAUGAAAAGAGAGGGUAAGCCCCCUCAAAGGAAGAGAGUGCCUCCACAGUCUUUCAUAUAGAAUAUAUAGCAUUCAAUCAAAAAUUAUGGUCCUAUCAAGGAAAAGAACCAAGAGGAAAAAAACAGGUAAUAUAAACAGACCCACAAAUACUACUGUUAUUAAAGUUAUUAUACUUGAACGUUUAAGGAUAUGAUUAAUGUGACAAAUUAAGAAAAUAUAACUCAAAUAUAGUCCAACAUGAAUAUAUUAUCGAUAAAACAUAAGUUAAAGAUGGAAAAUUUUUACUUCUCUGGUUUUCUACUGGUAUUUUAGAAAGAAUUAAAUGAAAAUUAUGGAGUAGAAAAAUAAAAUACUUGAAAUUAAAUACCCAACACAUAAACUGCAAUUUAACAGCAGUUGGGACUCAGCAGCUAUGUGGAUUAGUGAAGGAAAAUAGGGAAGUAGAAAAUCCACUUCCAUCUUUCUGUAUGGAAAAUACAGAAAGAAAUAUGUGAUAGAUAAUCUUAUGGGUAAAAAUGGCCAGGCCAUCCCGCCCAGAUAUUUGAUCAAGCAUUAUUCUGGAUGUUUAUAAGAGGGUGGUUUUUUGUAGAUGAGAAUAACAUUUAAAUUACAGAACUUUGAAUAAAGCGGUUUGCCUGACAUAACAUCAGUGGGCCCCAUUCAAUCAGUUAAGGAAGGCAAAGACUGACCUCCCCUCAGCAAGAAGGAAUUCUGCUGGUGGAUGGCUUUCAGACUUGAACUACGAUGUCAGUGCUCUUCCUUGGGUCUCCAGCGUGCUGGCUGGUUUACUCUGUAGAUAUUGGACUUGCCAGGCUCCAUAAUUGGAUGAGCCAAUUUCUUGAAACAAAUCUGUCCAUAUAUCUAUGCAUAUUGCAUUGGUUCUGAUUCUCUGUGAAAGUUGACUAAUUUAGAACAUGAGAGACACAGAGGCACAAAGGAAAGGUUUAAAAUGUGUAAUUAAAAUGCCAGAGGUAAGGAGAGAGUGAUAAUGGGGGGAAAAGACAAUUCACAAAAGCUCCUGGCAUACACAUAUAUAUUUUAUAACAAAUUAGUUAUUACAUUAAAUAUAAAGGGAUUAAACAUUCCUAUUAAGGGGCAAAGAUUGUCCAAUUGAAUUUUUAGAAAUUUAUGUACGGGGACUGAUGUACAAAAAAAAAAUGAGCUCUGUUGUCAGUCAACUCUAUUUUCUAUGACAAUAUUUCUUCAGUCUUCCUUAGCUUGUAUAAGAAUCUAAGAGUCUUGUUAAAACACAAGUUCCUGGGAAACAUCCUCUAGAGGGUUUAGGAUUCGAAGGGUGAUCAUUUGCAUUUCUAUGAGCUUCCAGCUUCCAGGUCAUGCUGUUGCUACUACUCUUUAAAUGCUAAAACCAUUUUGUGCAGCUAUUAUCUACAUGAUGAUAAAUGUAGAUUCACAGAGGCUGUGGUCAAGAUCUGACCCUUGUCUUUCUUAUGAGCUCAUAUGAGAGGUGAAGUCAGAAGAACAGAUAGGCCCCAUGUUUUGAGUUUGGGUCAGACCUCACUCUGCAUUAUUGUUUUGCAAAGAAAUAGCACAUGGAUACAACCAUCUUCAUCUUUUCCGCAAAGAAAAUAAGACUCUCCUAGUCAGCUACCCCAAUCUCCAUAUUAAUAGGGAGCUCUCACAGUGCAAGAUAAAAUUAUGAUCUCAUUUCACUAAAAAUUCUGCUGACACCACUAUUAAGCCAAAAUGGCACCAACCAUUAUCUUCAUGCUUAAAAAUGCACCAAUGCAUAACCAAUCAUUUCAUGUAUGUUUUAUCUCCUCAUCUAAAUUAUACACUAUAUGAGGGAAGGAGUCAUCUCUGCCAUUUUUUUGUUUUUUUGGUAUCUUCCCAAACAUUAAGCACAACAAUCUCCUUCAAUGAAUUAUGAAGACUAAGAGGCAAGGCAAUCACCAAGAAUUAGCAUGGAGUUAACUUAAGUUUGCCUUCUGCCCUACCCAGCGUUCCCAUGUAUCUUAUUCAUCACCCCUCACCAGCAACACCCACCUGACUCAUAUCAACGCACUCAGGACUUCCACUGUGGCUGAUGGAAGCCUCAUGCUACCAAAACCUGAGUAGGAAAUCAUUAAUUAACCUCCUACAUUUACAACUAUUCAGAAAGCAUACCAAAAUGAUGGUACACUCCCUGCCAUCCCCAUGUGGCAGCAACAUUCAACAGUGAGAGUCCAGACACUCCAGCUCCUGCGUACAGCAGACGAACCAGAGAGAGUUGCUGUCGGAAGGUCAAACCCCUUCAAAUUAUAUUUGUAAGUGACCAUCUAGCUGGUUCCUGGCAGGCCAGACAGGCUUUUCCUGACUUCAACUCAGUCAGUCCAGGCCUAACUGAAACCAAGCCUCCGAGACUGUUUUUUGUUGGCUCGAAGCCGGUUGCUUUGUUUAAUUGUUUUUAUGGGUGCCAGGCACUGUGGUGGACACUUAUGACUAACACCUCACUUAUUUGAAUGAUACCAGUUAUCAAUGGUUUCAUCAGGUAAAUGGCACAUAUCAUAAACAAACGAUAAAGCAUGAUUAAUGUGAAAGUUCUGAAAGAAAGUCUUAAGAUGGAUUUCAAUUUUAUUUCCAGAGCAUAGCAUGAAAGUCAAACCCUUUUCUUUUCUUUUCUUUCUUUCUUUCUUUUUUUUUUUUUUUUUUUUUUUUUUUUUUGCAAGAGAAAGGAGAUUACAUGCCUCUUCAUUUAGGGUUAGAAGGACCCCAGAAAUAUUAAACUAACUUAUAAGAUUCAGCAAGCUUUUCUCCUUAAAGUUAAGUAUGUCUGCUUUAAGAAAAUGGAUACCUGACCCCAGGUAAUAUUUUAUUUUUUGGAACCCUGCUGAAUUGGGAGUAAGCAUUCUUUCAGGCCAAAGAAAGUCCUGUGAAAUCUUUCUUGAGACACGUAUUUUGGUUGAGAGCUAAACAGCUGUCCCUCAAGUAAGCAUUUAGAGUUACGGAGAUAUCCAGGAGAACCAGGGGAAAUGAAGAGAAAUGCUACGUUUCAUUUCUAGUUAUAAAGAAUGUAUGACUUGUUUGUGUAACUUGUUUUCAUAAGCCUAUCUGGAAUAUAGGGCACCUAAGGGAUAGUACUUCCAAUAGGCAGUGAAUACUUCGUAUAAAUAUGGACCUCCUCCUUCUCAAAAAUAAGUAACCCCAGUUGUUUCUAUCCUGCUUCCUCACGGGUCUCUCUCCAAGACCCUGUUCCCAGAUUCCUGGUCAUGAAGUCACUACCUAUGGGAUAUCACCUGCUACAAGGUGUUAACCCUCCAGACCACUGAGUACCUGGUAGUCACCAAACCUGAUUGACCAUUCACUGCCUGGCUGUCCUUAGAAGGAGGCACAAUGCACUCCCAAGACCUGUAUCUUUCCAUGCCCUACCAACGAAUGCAUAGCAUUUCCAAGUUUUUAUCACUGCUAGUCUGUCUCACUGUAUCUACUACCUCUUAAGCCUGAAACAUCAAACUCAGUGUGCAUGUGUAUAUAUGUGCAUGUGUGCGUGCAUUUGUACUCAGAGAAUAAUACAGUAGAAAGGACCUGAACUAAUUAGCGCAUAUACUUUCGACCUUCCUCUUUAUAUCCUGCGGAUUCAGUGGAAUCACUUCAAGGUUAGGGGAGGAGAUGAGGAAACCCAAGGGGCUUCAGGUCCUCCCAAAGCCCCACAAUCAGUACAGCUUCCUGACAAUCAGGUUUAUAUAUUGACUUUUAUAGUAAGCAUGCUUUUGAGGAAAGGGUACUCUCACUGUAAAAAGGCGGGUAGUGUUGAAAACCAGAUAUUUACUUCAAUCCCCUUUGUUGUACAGAAGAGAGAAUCAAGAAGAAAUGAAGGUUGUCCCACCAUCACAUAGCUAUUUAGCUAGAGUUGGAAGUACAGCUGAGGUUGCUUGAUUCCCAAGUGUGCGUUUUCUAUGUACCAUCCAGCAGGGAGAAAGGGGAAAAAAAAACAUACUGUGUGCUUAUUGCAUGUGUUAGUGAUCAGGAUAUGUCUUGAUGACAAUCUAGGGUUUAAGUGGCAAACAAAAACGUGGGAGUGGAAUGUCCCAUUCUAUAAUGUGUCCCCAACACAUUUCAGGAAAAUCAGAGAGUAAGCAAAGGGUUGAAGUCCUGGGCUAAGGGAGAUUCUUUCUAGACAUGUUUGGUAAGCCACAGCCUACAUCUCAUAGCAUAAAGAAGCUGCACGAAUCCUAAAGAGCCCUUAAAGAAGUUCCCCACUGGGAACAUAAUGAAGAUGCACCAUAUAAACUAGCAGCGUUUGGAGUUUUCUGCAUCUCAGUUAUUUGUUAGGAGUGUCCAUAGGAUUGUGGCAAGGCUUAUGAACAGAACGUCAGCUUUAUCUUAUCAAUAUCAUUCUAGUGAAGAAAGCUGCCAAAGUCCAGUGGAAGGGUCUUACUAAUCAGAAUCUUUGUAUAUCCAGCCUUGCAGAAUCAAACUGUGAAGGGUUCUCCUGAGUUUUAGAUCUUUAUUUUGUUGGCAAUCAUGGAUACAUAUCAGAAUCACCUAGGGAGUCUUAACUAUACUGAUGCCCAGGCUCAACCCAGAAGAAUUAAGAAUUUCUGCAGCAGAAACUACCUUUACCUCCCAUCUACC